rnacentral:rRNA from 1 species
UACAGAGGCUCCAAGCAUUAUCCGGAAUCACUGGGCGUAAAGGGUGUGUAGGCGGUCGUAUUAGUCUUUCGUGAAAGCUCCUCGGCUUAACCGAGGAAACGCGGGGGAAACGGUACGACUACGAGGACGUAAGAGGUAAAGGGAACUCAUGGUGUAGGGGUGAAAUCCGUUGAUAUCAUGGGGAACACCAAAUGCGAAGGCACUUUACUGGUACGCUCCUGACGCUGAAACACGAAAGCGUGGGAAUCGAACGGG